AUUUAUAGCUACUUAAUAAUAUAACUUAUUGGAGCAACACAUCUGGGCAAGAGAAAUUUCUUCUUAGUCCUCUUUUGUUUUACAUUCCAAGCUAUACAUACGGUCAUACUUCAUUUUAUUAUGUAUUGCAGAUAUUGCAUUGUUUACAAAUUGAAGAUGUGUGGUGACCCCGCGACAAGCAAGUCUACCAAAGCCACUUUUCAGCAGCAUCUUCUCACUUCCUGUCUCUGUUUCAAUUAUGAGAACAGAUGUAGAGAUUAGAAUCGGCAAAGGGAAAAGGCCCAUGGGAUGAAGGCCAGAAGAAAUCAAGCUACAAGUUUUUCUCUCCAGUGGAGUCCCAUGAGGAUGCACACAACUCUCCCAGCAGCAAUGUGGGACAACACAUGCAAAGUAUUGGCCAUCAGGGAAGCUCCCCCCAGCUUUGGUCACCAGGGUUUUUUAUUGGUUGUCAGUCAUGCACACAUUCAGUGCUUCUGUGACUGACCUCACCCACCAGACUGUAACCUCAAGAGCAAAAUCAGAUUUUUUUAGUGUGCAAAAUGUCUUUCUCAAUAUUGAAAAUCCAUAUGAGUACAUGGACAAUUUCACAUACCAUGUGGACUUGCGAAAUAUUACCUAAUUUAGAGGGUUUGAAAGCUCAGAAGUUGUGUCCGGAGUUGUUUCCUUCCGGUGGGUUCAUAGUCUCACUGACUUCAAGAAUGGAGCCACGGACCUUCACGAUAAGUCAUUCCACUUCUUCUGAGGGAGUGAAGAAAGAGGCCAAGUUCAGAAUUGUACCAAUUGACUACCUUGACCUGGACAUAAGCACCAGAAUGGUUGCACUCAACAACAAAGACUGUACUGGGAAUAGAAAGAUGAACAAGACAGUGCACUUCCCUUCAAAGAGCUUACAGAAUCACAACCAGCAGAGAGAUUUUAAAGGCCUCUUGCUGCAUGAGAUGGAACAGUAAGACCAGAGGGAUCCUGUUUCUUCAUUUAUUUCAGUACCAGCAACCCCAUUGAGUUCAUCACAUCCUCAUGGAAGAUAAAAAGCAGAUGGAAUAGCAAUAACAACAACUAAAGGACAGAAAAACCUAGCAACCACAAGGCAAGAGCAAGAUAAAAAUAAGAAUAAUAAAAGAUAAAUGCACGAAUUCCUAAACACCUUCCUCCUCUUCUCUCAGGAGUUCCAAUGCCUGAAUAGGAAAAUAACAGACAUCCCAGAAGAAUACUGAACAAUGCAUACAAAUAAGUACAUCGCUGAAGAAGCAAACUGCCCAAUAAAGUCUUCAAUCUCUGUGGUGGUAAGAAU
rnacentral:lncRNA from 1 species